AACGAACGCUGGCGGCAGGCCUAACACAUGCAAGUCGAACGUGAAGCCACCUUCGGGUGGUGGAAAGUGGCAGACGGGUGAGUAACGCGUGGGAACGUGCCUUUCGGUUCGGAAUAACCCAGGGAAACCUGGGCUAAUACGGGAUACGCCCUUCGGGGGAAAGUUUCAUCGCCGAAAGAUCGGCCCGCGUCGGAUUAGCUAGUUGGUGGGGUAAUGGCUCACCAAGGCGACGAUCCGUAGCUGGUCUGAGAGGAUGACCAGCCACACUGGGACUGAGACACGGACCAGACUCCUACGGGAGGCAGCAGUGGGGAAUAUUGGACAAUGGGCGAAAGCCUGAUCCAGCCAUGCCGCGUGGGUGAAGAAGGCCUUAGGGUUGUAAACCCCUUUCAGCGGGGAAGAUAAUGACGGUACCCGCAGAAGAAGUCCCGGCUAACUCCGUGCCAGCCGCCGCAGUAAUUC
rnacentral:rRNA from 1 species